rnacentral:rRNA from 1 species
UACGGGGGGGGCAAGCGUUGUUCGGAAUUACUGGGCGUAAAGGGCGCGUAGGCGGUUCGAUAAGUCAGCUGUGAAAACCAUGGGCUUAACUCACGGCCUGCAGUUGAGACUGUCGGGCUGGAGUGUGGGAGAGGAGAGUGGAAUUCCUGGUGUAGCGGUGAAAUGCGUAGAUAUCAGGAGGAACACCGGUGGCGAAGGCAGCUCUCUGGGACGGUACUGACGCUGAGACGCGAAAGCGUGGGGAGCGAACAGG